GCGAGCUGGGUUCAGAACGUCGUGAGACAGUUCGGUCCCUAUCCUCCGUGGGCGUAAGAGAAUUGAAGGAAGCUGUCCCUAGUACGAGAGGACCGGGAUGGACAGACCUCUGGUGUACCGGUUGUCGACCAACGGCACUGCCGGGUAGCUACGUCUGGUUUGGAUAACCGCUGAAAGCAUCUAAGCGGGAAGCCAAUCCUGAGAUGAGUUCUCUUUUUGGUAAGACCCCUUGUAGACUACGAGGUUGAUAGGCUGCAGGUGUAAGCGUUGUGAGGCGUUCAGCCGAGCAGUACUAAUCGGUCGAGCUCUUUAUCUUA
rnacentral:rRNA from 1 species